rnacentral:rRNA from 1 species
GAUGAACGCUGGCGGCGUGCCUAAUACAUGCAAGUCGAACGCUGAAGGAGGAGCUUGCUCUUCUGGAUGAGUUGCGAACGGGUGAGUAACGCGUAGGUAACCUGCCUGGUAGCGGGGGAUAACUAUUGGAAACGAUAGCUAAUACCGCAUGACAACAGUUAUUGCAUGAUAACUGUUUAAAAGGGGCAACUGCUCCACUACCAGAUGGACCUGCGUUGUAUUAGCUAGUUGGCGAGGUAACGGCUCACCAAGGCGACGAUACAUAGCCGACCUGAGAGGGUGAUCGGCCACACUGGGACUGAGACACGGCCCAGACUCCUACGGGAGGCAGCAGUAGGGAAUCUUCGGCAAUGGACGGAAGUCUGACCGAGCAACGCCGCGUGAGUGAAGAAGGUUUUCGGAUCGUAAAGCUCUGUUGUAAGAGAAGAACGAGUGUGAGAGUGGAAAGUUCACACUGUGACGGUAGCUUACCAGAAAGGGACGGCUAACUACGUG